GACUCUGGAGAGUCCCUGUACCACAGGGCGCCGAAGGUGUACGGCAGAAGCUUCUGCCAAUCUCUCAGGCAAAAGGACAGAGCAU
rnacentral:ncRNA from 1 species